AUUGAACGCUAGCGGGAUGCUUUACACAUGCAAGUCGAACGAGGGGCGGACGGGUGAGCAAUAUAUCGGAACGUGCCCAGUAGCGGGGUAUAACUACUCGAAAGAGUGGCUAAUACCGCAGACUAUUGUAGCCGCCGAUGUCGGAUUAGCUAGUUGGUGGGGUAAAGGCACACCAAGGCAAAGAUCCGUAGCUGGUUUGAGAGGAAGACCAGCCACACUGGGACUGAGACACGGCCCAGACUCCUACGGGAGGCAGCAGUGGGGAAUUUUGGACAAUGGGGGAAAGCCUGAUCCAGCCAUCCCGCGUGUAUGAGAAGGCCUUCGGGUUGUAAAGUACUUUUGGCAGAGAAGCGGUAUCUGCAGAAUAAGCACCGGCUAACUACGUGCCAGCAGCCGCGGUAAUUC
rnacentral:rRNA from 1 species